GGUUAAGUUAUGAAGGGCGCAUGGUGAAUGCCUUGGUACUAGGAGCCGAUGAAGGACGGGACUAACACCGAUAUGCUUCGGGGAGCGGUAAGUACGCUUUGAUCCGGAGAUUUCCGAAUGGGGCAACCCAAUCAGCUUAGUCGCUGAUUACUUGACUAGUGAAUACAUAGCUAGCAAGAGGUAGACGCAGUGAACUGAAACAUCUUAGUAGCUGCAGGAAGAGAAAGAAACAUCGAUUCCCUGAGUAGCGGCGAGCGAAAAGGGAAGAGCCCAAACCAACAAGCUUGCUUGUUGGGGUUGUAGGACUGAACAUUAGAGUUACCAAAGUGCGACGUAGUCGCAACAGUUGGGAAGCUGUGCCAUAGAGGGUGAAAGCCCCGUAGACGAAACGUCACACUCUCUGUUCAGGAUCCUGAGUACGGCGGGACACGUGAAACCCCGUCGGAACCCGCGAGGACCAUCU
rnacentral:rRNA from 2 species